rnacentral:snRNA from 1 species
GUUCUUGCUACGGCAGAACAUGUACUAAAAUUGGAACGAUACAGAGAAGAUUAGCAUGGCCCCUGCGCAAGGAUGACACGCAAAAUCGUGAAGCGUUCCACAUUUUU